rnacentral:rRNA from 1 species
CAUGGCUCAGAACGAACGCUGGCGGCGCGUUUAAGCAUGCAAGUCGAGCGGCAAGGGCCUUCGGGCCCCUAGAGCGGCGGACGGGUGAGCAACACGUGGACAAUCUGCCCCCCGGCCCGGGAUAGCCCAGGGAAACCUGGAUUAAUACCGGAUGAGACGGGACCCGCGAUGGCGGGAUCCGGGAAAGGCGCUGCGGCGCCGCCGGGGGAUGAGUCUGCGUCCCAUUAGCUAGACGGCGGGGUAACGGCCCACCGUGGCGACGAUGGGUAGCCGGCCUGAGAGGGUGGACGGCCACAUUGGAACUGAGACACGGUCCAGACUCCUACGGGAGGCAGCAGCUAAGAAUCUUCCGCAAUGGGCGAAAGCCUGACGGAGCGACGCCCGCGUGAACGAAGAAGGCCGUGAGGUUGUAAAGUUCUUUUCGGGAGGGGGAACAACCGUGGCAGGGAAUGGCCGCGGGAUGACGUGAAUCCCGGAAUAAGCCCCGGCUAACUACGUGCCAGCCGCUGC